rnacentral:rRNA from 1 species
CCCUUAGAUGUUCUGGGCCGCACGCGUGCUACACUGAGUGGAUCAGCGGGUCAGGUUGCGCGAAAGCGUUUCCUAAUCUUUAAAUCCGCUCGUGAUGGGGAUUGACGGUUGCAAUUUUCUGUCAUGAACGAGGAAUACCUUGUAAGCGCGGGUCAUCAUCCCGCGCUGAAUACGUCCCUGCCCUUUGUACACACCGCCCGUCGCUCCUACCGAUUGAGUGGUCCGGUGAAUUACAUAGAAUUUUGCGUUUUACAUGACGGAAGACGAAGUGUUUUAAACCUUAUCAUUUAGAGGAAGGAGAAGUCGUAACA